GGAUGAUUAAAAUAUGUGAUAUUCGAUAUUUAAAACUUGUUCUUUGUGGUAUUUUACAUGUGAAAAUUAAAACUACAUGUUGUUAUAAAUCCAAAUUUUACGUGAAUUCGAAUAAUUUCUCCAUUUGCUUUCGGAAACCUUUAAGAAACAAAAUCAUUUCCAGACGGUUAUCACAAGUUGCAAACAACAUAUUCUUAGUUAAACACGUCUUUAUUAUUCUUAUGACCGCCACUCGGGUUAAUAACAAGGUCUAGAGGGCUCGUCACAUAUUCUGACCUCACUUUAAAUAGACCUGUAAUUUGAAUAUGAUGGAUGUUCAAGAAGUACAGAGCACAGGGCAAAAUGGAUUAGUUUCUCUAGAACUUCCGACUGAUGGAGAAGUCUGGGUUUUCGGUUUGGAAAAUAUUAGCCUAAAUACUGAAAUCAGAUAUAAUUGAAUAAAAAAGAUUGUACUUUGGCUAACAUUUAAUAGAGGAGAAACAUGUAUUCUUCUCGGGCCACUUACAUGCCGUGCGUUAAAGGAAGAAAGUCGUUGUUCAACCAGCAGAAAAACUCUACACAGCCUUAACUACAGGUCGCAUGCAAUGACACGAGUAAAUAAGUCAUACACUUCGGUAUACAAUAUUAUAUUCUGCCAUUACGCGACAGAUAUAAAUUCAUUUACAAAUGAAUGCUUUCUUUUUAAAGAUGGAAUACACCAAUCGCUUCUAGUAAUGCAUGAAAAUGUGAGAAAUGAAUCAACUUAUUUUAGGAACAUUUUUUUACCUUUACAAGAUUAGAC
rnacentral:lncRNA from 1 species